rnacentral:rRNA from 1 species
CCUACGGGAGGCAGCAGUAAGGAAUAUUGGACAAUGCUCGCAAGAGUGAUCCAGCCAUGCCGCGUGCAGGAAGAAUGCCCUAUGGGUAGUAAACUGCUUUUGAACUAGAGAAAACCCCAGUACGUGUACUGGGCUGAUAGUAUAGUUAGAAUAAGCAUCGGCUAACUUCGUGCCAGCAGCCGCGGUAAGACGAAGGAUGCAAGCGUUAUCCGGAUUCAUUGGGUUUAAAGGGAGCGUAGGUGGACUGAUAAGUCAGUGGUGAAAUCUCCGAGCUUAACUCGGAAAUUGCCAUUGAUACUGUUGGUCUUGAGUACAGUUGCUGUGGGCGGAAUAUGACAUGUAGUGGUGAAAUACAUAGAGAUGUCAUAGAACACCGAUUGCGAAGGCAGCUCACAAAGCUGUAACUGACACUGAGGCUCGAAAGUGCGGGGAUCAAACAGGAUUAGAUACCCUGGUAGUCCGCACCGUAAACGAUGAUUACUCGCUGCUAGGGGGCAACCUUUAGUGGCUUAGCGAAAGCGAUAAGUAAUCCACCUGGGGAGUACGCCGGCAACGGUGAAACGUCAAAUGAAUUGACGG